rnacentral:rRNA from 1 species
UGGGGAAUAUUGCACAAUGGGGGAAACCCUGAUGCAGCGACGCCGCGUGAGCGAAGAAGGCUUUCGAGUCGUAAAGCUCUGUCCUAUGAGAAGAUAAUGACGGUAUCAUAGGAGGAAGCCCUGGCUAAAUACGUGCCAGCAGCCGCGGUAAUACGUAUGGGGCGCGCGUUGUCCGGAAUUAUUGGGCGUAAAGGGUACGUAGGCGGUUUUUUGAGUCAGGUGUCAAAGCGUGGAGCUUAACUCCAUUAAGCACUUGAAACUGAAAGACUUGAGUGAAGGAGAGGAAAGUGGAAUUCCUAGUGUAGCGGUGAAAUGCGUAGAUAUUAGGAGGAAUGCCGGUGGCGAAGGCGACUUUCUGGACUUUUACUGACGCUCAGGUACGAAAGCGUGGGGAGCAAACAGG